GGGGGAAGGAAUUUUCUCCAUUUUCAGGUAGUCUUUGUCCAUCCUUGCAUCCUCAACGAGCAAAUAUUUUAACUUGUUUUUAACUGGUUUUUUAACUUGUGGGUUUUUUAAAUUUGGAGUUUUGUUUGUUUGUUUGUUUAAAUUAAGGGGUGGAAUAUGUGCCUGUGAAGAGAAGAACUGCAGAGAACAGUGGAAUGGCCUAAUCGCAGUGGCUCAGUGCAAGGCGAGGUAUGGUGUGGGAGGUGGGGCAGGCCAGGUAGGGGGCACACAGCACAGGCAGCUGGCGACUGUGCUGUGUGGCGGCCCCUCCUCUGACCUGGGGAAUUGCGGCUGUCCUAUCAGCCAGCCCUCGGGUCUGCGGAUGCUGUUGAUGAGUGUCAGGUGGGCCCAGAGUAAGACUCCCUCAUCCACGAUCUGAUUGUAGUUGAGGAAGCCGAUUCGGCCUUUAUCAUUGAGACUUGGGUGGGUGAUCAGGGUGGAGUUGGUCUCACCCAGCUAUGCCCACCUGGGUACUGGGGGCAGCAUCAGGGCAGACUUGAGGGUCAGGGAGAGGCAGUUGCUGUGGUCUAUAGAUUCCAUCUAUGGAGUGUGUGUUCCUGGCAUUGGGCAGUUGGGACAGAUCAGGGAUUCUGCUGGUCUACCCCCCGCCUCGCUGCCCAGCACUCUCCUAGCCUGAGGUGGCAGCUGGUUUUGGAGGCAGUGCUGAAGACUCCCAGACUGCUGGUUUUGUAGGACUUAAACAUCCAUGCUGAGGCAAUUGGCUCUAGGGUGGCUCAGGAUUUCAUGGCUGCCGUGACGACCAUAGGACUGUCAGAAUGUGUCACCAAUCCAACACAUGUGGCAAGCCACAUUCUGGACUUUGUUUUCUCAACUAGGCAGGAAGAGGGUGAUCUGAAAGUGGGGGGUGUUGACACAGCCCCUUGUCAGGGUCAGACCACUGCCAGCUGAGAUUUAGGCUUUCAGCACCUUUCCAGUCCUACUUGGAUGGUUAUUUCCAGAGGGUGAUGCUAGGGGAGUGUUCUUCGGCCUUGUGGAGCCAAAGUGUGGGGUUCCUCAAGGUUCAGUUUUAUCCUCUAGGCUGUUUAACAUCUAAAUGAAAUCACUGAGUGGGGUUAUUCCUAGUGCUAGAGUAUGUUGUGAGUAAUCUGCUGAUGACACACAGCUCUACUUCUCCUUUACAUCUGCAGAUGAGGCAGUGGAUGUGCUAGACUGUUGUCUUGCCUUGGUAAUGGACUGGACGAAAGCCAAGAAACUGAAGCUUAAUCUAAAUAAGACUGAGGCACUGUUAGUGAGUGGCUUCCUAGACUGGAUGGAUGGGAGGUUGCCUGUUCUUGAUGGGGUUACACUCCCUCUGAAGGAGCAGGUAAAUAGUUUAGGGGUACUCCUGGAUCAUUUGCUGCCACUUGAGGCUCAGGUGGCUUCAGUGGCGCAGAGCGCUUUCCAUCCGCUUCGGCUGGUGACCCAGCUGUGCCCCUAUCUGGACUGGGAUAGCCUAACUACUGUUGUCUAUGCUCUGGUAACCCUUAGGUUAGAUUACUGCAACAUGCUAUUUACAUGGUGCUGCCUUUGAAGAUGGUUUGGAAACUUCAGCUAGUGCAGAAUUCAAUGGCCAGGUUGUUCACUGAGGGUAAAAUAGUUUGAGCAUAUAAUACCAAUCCUGACCCAACUGCACUGGCUACCAAUUAGUUUCUGGUCCCAAUUCAAAGUGCUGGUUUUGACCUAUAAAGCCUGAAAUGGCUCAGGAUCACAAUACCUCAAGGACCGCCUCUCUCCAUAUGAAUAUACCCAGACCUUGCGAUCAUAAUCUGAGGCCCAUUUUUGCAUGCCUCCUCUGCAAAAGUCUGGAGGGCAGCAACAUAAGAGUUGGCCUUUUCUGCUGUGGCUCCAUUUCUGCUUUAGGCACCAGGCAGAAACAGUUUCCUAUAAUGAGGCCUUUGUCUGAUUCCAUGGCCUUUUAAAUGUGUUUGUGGGUGUGGGGGCUAUUGGUUUGUUUGGUUUUUGUUUUAUUAUGCAUCUUGUGUUCUCAUUUUGUAUUUUUAUGUUGUGAACAGCCCUGUGAUCUUCGCAUGAAGGGUGGCAUACAAAACAAGCAAGCAAGCAAGCAAGCAAGCAAGCAAGCAAAUAUUAAAGGGGACAGGUCCACUGCUGGUUUCCCCCAACAUGCCUCUGAGUAACUUGAGACCUUAGCUGUAGCACAUGACAAAGCCCUAGGCUAGGGAUAAGGAACCGUUUUCAGCCCGAGGGCCUCAUUCCUUUGCAGGCAACUAUUCAGGGGCCACAUGCCAACAAUGGGUGGGGCCAGAGGCAAAAGAGAUUUGAGGGGUGAAUGUAAAUUUUACCUUUGAAUAGCAGGCUAGAUUGCAGCCACACAGAAGUCAGAGGUUUGGAUACAGAAAUGUGCCUCUUUCCAGCAUCAAUCCAUCCAUCCAUCCAUCCAUCUGCCAAGCUGUUUCUUUCAAAAGGUUGUGUGUGUGUGUGUGUGUGUGUGUGUGUGUGUCUAGGGUGGGGGAGCCCUUUUUAGCCUGAGGGCUGCAUUACCUUCUGAACAUCCUUAUGGGGGGGGGGCAUCCUCCUGGGUGGGGCCAGAGGCAAAAGUGGGUGGAGCAAAUAGCUCUUUACAGUAGGCUAGUUUCUACCCAUGCUCACACACUUUUCUCUAUUCUCCAUCCAGACAAGGAAGAGGCAUUAUCAGGGUUCAAUGACACAUUCCAGCAAGGCAAAAGCACUCAAAGAGGAUGCAGUGCAGGGCUGGUGAGGGGGUGUGGCCUGACCAAGGAGCUGGGGGCUCUUCUCAGCCUGGGGUCUGGCCUUCCCCACCCUUCCCCCAGCCUAAUGCCAUCUGCAGAAAAUCUGUAGUUGCAACACUGGGACUUCAUAGCCAAGGACUUAAAGCUUUUUCUUUGCCCAGACAUAUCAAUCGUUCCCCCUUUAAUUUGAACAUCUAUUGUUAGCAAAAUCACUGAAGGCAGAGCACUUAGCAUCUGUGGGACUAUGGAGGGGGAACAAUGAGAAAUAUCAUGUUAAUGAACAAGAUAACUAUUUGUAAGCACUGCUGGGAAGAACUACCUCAUUAGAGACUUUUCGGGGAAAUUGGACUUUAUUUGUACCAUUUUGGAAUCGAUUGAGACCCCCGGGAAUGAGCACCGAUGGACGUCCU